ensembl:lncRNA
CUGAAUUUGACCUGGGAUACCUUCGUCUUCAACUGUCCUUCAAUUUUAGAAAUUGAAUUUUCUGGCACCUCUCUGCAGAAUAUCAUCUGAUUCUGGGCAAUCAAUUUGAGACAGCUGACUGGGGUCAGAAGAGCAGUCUGUGACUGUGGAACCGAGCAGAUUUCAUUGGAACAAAGUGACAGAGGGAUGGAGAAGGAUCCAACUCAAACUUUAGGUUUCCUGUAUACCAUGGAGCCCAGCCACCCACAAGCCACAGUCUGUCAGAAGAUACCAGAGACGAGAUCACUCUCCAGGGGACACUUAAGCCAUUCAUAUAAUCACCUGCUGGUACAUGUUGGCUUUCCAAGCCUAAUUAGUUUGUGAAGAGUGCUAAUGAAGAUGGGCAUUUGCUUGUAUGGACAGGCUAAGGAUGGUCCAGCAUCCUUAAGUGGUCAAAGGAUAAGGCAGUGAUGGUUAGAAGAACCAAGAUGUCAUAGGGGCCAGACUGCUCAAUAUUAUUGAAGAAAGCCAACAGCAAGAAUUUUGCAGAACACAGAAAAUGUGAUUGUCUCCUCGGAGUUGGAGCAGAUUUCUAUCUUUUACCAAGAAACAAGGUUGGGAACGCACAUUCAUGUUCUUUAACAGAAGAAUCAGUUCCACUGGAGAAGCCACAAAACAUAGAGGUGUUUA